rnacentral:rRNA from 1 species
AUACGGAGGAUCCGAGCGUUAUCCGGAUUUAUUGGGUUUAAAGGGUGCGCAGGCGGCCAUUUAAGUCAGCGGUUAAAUCGUGGGGCUCAACCCCAUUCUGCCGUUGAUACUGGGUGGCUUGAUUGCGGUCGAGGUUGGCGGAAUUCGUUGCGUAGCGGUGAAAUGCAUAGAUAUGACGAAGAACACCGAUUGCGUAGGCAGCUGACCAGACCGCAAAUGACGCUCAUGCACGAAAGUGCGGGGAUCGAACAGGAUAGAUACCCUGGUAGUCCGCACAGUAAACGAUGAAUACUUGUUUUCGGCGAUAUAAUGUCGGAGGCAAAGCGAAAGCGAUAAGUAUUCCACCUGGGGAGUACGCCGGCAACGGUGAAACUCAAAGGAAUUGACGGGG